rnacentral:lncRNA from 1 species
AUAAAAUAUUUUCACACCUCCACGAAAUUUAUUUACAUCUCUCUUCUUACUCAAACAAUUUUGUUUCGUACUCUGAAUAUUUAUACAAUACAUUAGUCAACGCAAUAGGUCAAACAAAAACUAAACACAUGUCGAAGAUGAUUAUAGUUUCAACUACUUAUAUGAAUAUAUCGAAUCACACUAACACAAUACCGUCGUAUCCAUCCCUAUAUCAAAUACAUCUAAUACACUACAAAUAUAACAACAUUUCUGCAUAACAAUAUACAAAUGUCAAUAGCACAAAUGACAAACAAUCUGCACAAAGCGCGAGCACACCACUAGUAAUAACGUUAUAAAAGUGCAAUAAUUAAGAUUUUAACU